GGGACAGUGGAAACCUGUACAGAGCAAGAUGAAGAGGACCCAGAUGUGGUCUCCAAGUGAAAGGUACACAACCUAACACAUCCUUCCGGAAAGACACCAUGUGACCGUUUUAGUACGCACAGCAUGCCAUGGACUUUUGGACUCGGUUAUCUGUAAGCCAUUCUUUUCAUUUCAAUUGUGCAAGGUCAUAAUGUACCUCGCAACACAUUCUUCUGGAAACACACUGCAUGUGACUGACUGGGUUUAGUGUUUAAUCAAGUCAUAAUUUGAAGCCCAUAUAUGUGGAUUUGGAGCAGCUUCUGGGCCAGAUUAACCGGGCAAGCGUCCACUCGCCGGAGUUUGACAAAAUCCAAAUCGGGAAAUGGCCUCCCCUGCAUCAUAUGUGCACCAUGUGUCCCGCGAGCAAGGCCAGAAAAAGAGGAACAGCACGUGGACGCGACAGAAGACCUGCUGCUCAUUAAUGAUUACACUUCCUCGUCGGGGAAAUCACCACGGGGAGUCGUAUCAGGAGAAGUCAUAAUAAGGAAAUGACAUGCAUGCACCGUAAAAGCUUUGUUUCAAUUACAGUAUAUGCUAUUGGGGGAGGUGAGACACUGUUUUGAGUAAGUUCUGUUUUGUCUCCUUUAGGACACACCCCACCAGGAAGUGUAUGUAUGUGCGCGAGCGUGUGUGUGUGUGUGUGUGUGUGUGUGUGUGUGUGCGUGCGUGCAAAUGUGUAACUAGCAGGCAGCUCUUAUCUGCUGACCUACAUUAUGCACUCUUCCCUCUCGCGGUCGCUGCGAAAAACAGGCCGGUUUUGCAAGACGGUUAAAGCGGGAGGAGGGGAGGGGGGGGGGGAGAAGACUCUUAAACAAAACAGCCACCUGUGGCUGCAAUCAAACGGCGACGGCUGUUAUACUGUAAGUGCCAUAUGUCCCGCUGGGAAAAUACAAGCAAAGCAAAGUAAGGCCUUGUUAAAAUAUGCAGACGGUAAGCUAGCAUUAACGUUGAUAGGACACGCACGGUAAAGUUAGGCCACAUUGGAGGUGACGUGUUCUUCAGAAGAGAACAAUGGAUAGAGCCAGAGCAGACUGUGGACAGUCUGCAGAGAAAAAUACAAGCAGGGAUUGCCCUCCUCCUCCCUUCCGGAAGCCUACGUCAAGGGGAGACUAUUGCCUUCAAAGUAAGAGCACAAGCGCGCGACCCUACGCGUUUAAGUCACUCUGUAAUUUAACAUUUAACUUUUUAUUUUACACUUAAAUAUGUAUUAGAAUUAAUAUGCUUCAACGGUACUGAUUUACAAUUGUGUACUUGGUUGCAUAAACCACACAUGUUUUGUAUUUUGAAGAUCGUAAACCUUUUUCCUCGUUUCCGACCCGUGCUUGACUCCCAAGUCGGGCGCCUGCGUCAGGUGGCUCGUGACGUCAGAUUCAGAUCCAGUGAGCCCUGCGGCCUGUUGUUGGUUCAGGACUUGUUGCCAUCGUCAAUCGCAGGCUUCAUAUAAACAAACAACCAUUCUCGCUCACACCUACAGACAACACAUUCAUAUUUACUUGCAAAUCCGUUGCACCACAUCAUAUGCGUUGAAGUAAUUCUCUAGACUUAAACCCGGUAGAAUAUGCAUUCAUAUUCACCCAUAUGGGAAAUGCAGAGUCUGAAAUGAACCCAACAUGCAUAUUUUUGGAAUGUGGGAGGAAGUCAGGGAGGACAUGAAAACUCCACACUGAAAGGCCUGAGUCAAGAUUUGAACCAAGACUCUUGUGAGUGUGAGACAGGCAUGCUAUUUCUGUGUUGAGCCAUGGACCGUGGUGUGUCCAUUUGUGUGUUUUUGUGGAAAUAUUGCUGGCGCUUGAGGACCUCAGAAUUUUUCUUUGAGAACUUUAAAGUGAUUGGGG